UAGAACCAGAGACAAAUAAUACGUGUGCCACUAGUAGAACUAAGGAUGUAUAAUUGUAGUUCUUCAUUAGAACUUAAACGAGGAUAACCAAAAUCCAAGAAUGACAGGUGGAGUAAAACUUGGUCACUCUUCAGGGGCGGAUCCAGGAUUUUGAAAAGGGGGGGCGAAGUUUUUAACUUUCGCCGAGCGGAGCGAGGCGAAAAAUGUUUGGGACCUUUUUUGGUCUAAAAACAUAAAAUAUAAAGUGUAAUAUGCACUUUUUAAACGGGUCCUGGUGUGGGGCAUGUAUAUUUUGUAGUUGCUGUAAAGUGUAAGGGUUGGAUAUUUUCGAUGCUGUAUUCUCCC
rnacentral:lncRNA from 1 species